rnacentral:ncRNA from 1 species
UCAUAUUCGAUGAAAAAGACAGUAGCUAUUUGGCAAUGCGAAGCGAGUUAGGGACGGUGUGAGCCUAAUGCAAGAAGAAUAGCGAAGCGCACUUUGGAGAAAUUGCCUGAAAGACUAGUAGGGUAAAUCGGGGAGGCUACCCCGUUAUUAACAAGAAAGCGGUCACUUCAUGUGACAACUAGAGUGGUACCACGGGAUUAAUAGCUCUCGUCUCUAUU